AAAUGAAUUGACGGGGGCCCGCACAAGCGGAGGAACAUGUGGUUUAAUUCGAUGAUACGCGAGGAACCUUACCCGGGCUCGAACGGCUGUUGAAUAAUUAUGAAAGUAGUUAGUCGCAAGACAACAGUCGAGGUGCUGCAUGGUUGUCGUCAGCUCGUGCCGUGAGGUGUCGGCUUAAGUGCCAUAACGAGCGCAACCCUUACCGUCAGUUACCAGCAUGUAAAGGUGGGGACUCUGACGGGACUGCCGCCGUAAGGUGAGAGGAAGGCGGGGAUGACGUCAAAUCAGCACGGCCCUUACGUCCGGGGCGACACACGUGUUACAAUGGGGGGGACAGCAGGAGGCUACCCGGCGACGGGAUGCAAAUCCACAAACCCUCUCCCGGUUCGGAUCGGAGUCUGCAACCCGACUCCGUGAAGCCGGAUUCGCUAGUAAUCGCGCAUCAGCCAUGGCGCGGUGAAUACGUUCCCGGGCCUUGUACACACCGCCCGU
rnacentral:rRNA from 1 species